rnacentral:rRNA from 1 species
AUGCCAGACUCCUACGGGAGGCAGCAGUGGGGAAUAUUGCACAAUGGGGGAAACCCUGAUGCAGCGACGCCGCGUGAGUGAAGAAGUAUUUCGGUAUGUAAAGCUCUAUCAGCAGGGAAGAAAAUGACAGUACCUGACUAAGAAGCCCCGACUAACUACGUGCCAGCAGCCGCGGUAAUACGUAGGGGGCAAGCGUUAUCCGGAUUUACUGGGUGUAAAGGGGGCGCAGACGGCGAUGCAAGCCAGGAGUGAAAGCCCGGGGCCCAACCCCGGGACUGCUCUUGGAACUGCGUGGCUGGAGUGCAGGAGGGGCAGGCGGAAUUCCUGGUGUAGCGGUGAAAUGCGUAGAUAUCGGGAGGAACACCGGUGGCGAAGGCGGCCUGCUGGACUGCAACUGACGUUGAGGCCCGAAAGCGUGGGGAGCAAACAGGAUUAGAUACCCGAGUA